AGAGUUUGAUCAUGGCUCAGAACGUACGCUGGCGGCACGCCUAACACAUGCAAGUCGAACGAAGUAGCAAUACUUAGUGGCAGACGGGUGAGUAACAUGUAGGUAUCUGCCCUUUGGCCUGGAAUAACACGAGGAAACUUGUGCUAAUACCACUGGAUAAGUCUUUACGGAGAAAGCUUUAUGCACCAUUGGAUGAGCAUGCACUUGAUUAGUUUGUUGGUGGGGUAAUGGCCUACCAAGACUUUGAUCAAUAGCUGAUUUGAGAGGAUGAUCAGCCACAUUGGGACUGAGACACGGCCCAAACUCCUACGGGAGGCAGCAGUGGGGAAUCUUGCACAAUGGAGGAAACUCUGAUGCAGCGAUGCCGCGUGAGUGAAGAAGGCCCUUGGGUUGUAAAGCUCUUUCGUCGGGGAAGAAAAUGACUGUACCCGAAUAAGAAGGUCCGGCUAACUUCGUGCCAGCAGCCGCGGUAAUACGAAGGGACCUAGCGUAGUUCGGAAUUACUGGGCUUAAAGAGUUCGUAGGUGGUUGAAAAAGUUGGUGGUGAAAUCCCAGAGCUUAACUCUGGAACUGCCAUCAAAACUUUUCAGCUAGAGUAUGAUAGAGGAAAGCAGAAUUUCUAGUGUAGAGGUGAAAUUCGUAGAUAUUAGAAAGAAUACCAAUUGCGAAGGCAGCUUUCUGGAUCAUUACUGACACUGAGGAACGAAAGCAUGGGUAGCGAAGAGGAUUAGAUACCCUCGUAGUCCAUGCCGUAAACGAUGUGUGUUAGACGUUGGAAAUUUAUUUUCAGUGUCGCAGCGAAAGCGAUAAACACAC
rnacentral:rRNA from 1 species